GAUGAACGCUGGCGGCGUGCCUAAUACAUGCAAGUCGAGCGAACGGACGAGAAGCUUGCUUCUCUGAUGUUAGCGGCGGACGGGUGAGUAACACGUGGAUGACCUACCUAUAAGACUGGGAUAACUUCGGGAAACCGGAGCUAAUACCGGAUAAUAUUUUGAACCGCAUGGUUCAAAAGUGAAAGACGGUCUUGCUGUCACUUAUAGAUGGAUCCGCGCUGCAUUAGCUAGUUGGUAAGGUAACGGCUUACCAAGGCAACGAUGCAUAGCCGACCUGAGAGGGUGAUCGGCCACACUGGAACUGAGACACGGUCCAGACUCCUACGGGAGGCAGCAGUAGGGAAUCUUCCGCAAUGGGCGAAAGCCUGACGGAGCAACGCCGCGUGAGUGAUGAAGGUCUUCGGAUCGUAAAACUCUGUUAUUAUGGAAGAACAUAUGUGUAAGUAACUGUGCACAUCUUGACGGUACCUAAUCAGAAAGCCACGGCUAACUACGUG
rnacentral:rRNA from 1 species